ACUAAAACCGCGAAGAAUUGGAAGUUUUGAAUGAUUUUUGUUAUGGUUUGAGAGAGGAAGAAAGAGGGUGGAGGCUCAAGCACGAAUAAGAAGCCCUUCCCAUUGUGUCGUGAUAUGCCUCCGGCGUAUCUAUAAUUUUUGAUUGUUUAAUGCUAUUAUCAUAUCACUUUUACAUAUUUUGGCAAUAAUUUAUUUUAUUUCUAUUUGUACUAACCUAUUAACCGAGUGCCGAAGGCCAAUUCGUGUUUUCUAUUGUUUCAGAGUUUUUAGGUUAAAAAUUCACAUAGCCGGAAUGACCUGAAAAUAUAUAUAUAUCUGAAUUUAUGGUGGAAUAAUCAACACAGGGAAAUGCUUGCGACCCCCACAUACUCAGCAAUGGAGCAUAGGGCCCACCAGCGAC
rnacentral:lncRNA from 1 species